rnacentral:rRNA from 1 species
AACGGCCAUACCAUGCUGAAUAUACCGGUUCUCGUUAGAUCACCGAAGUCAAGCAUCAUUGGGCGCGGGCAAUACUUGGGUGGGUGGCCGCCUGGGAACACCGCGGGCCGU